rnacentral:lncRNA from 1 species
AGGUAACAUGUCACAAACGGACUGGGCCCAUAACUGACUGAACAUACGGUACUGGAGUAUUUAAGCGAGAUGCCUUCUGAAUGACAAGAAGGGAACUUAUAGUCGAGAAAUGGGCAGCAGCGUCCGUUUAAAAAGUCACUAAAUCCUAACUGCUGUUUAAACUCGCCUGCCAAGCCAGCAACUACUGUUAAAACUCCUCCAAUAAUUAAUACCAUAAGAAAACUGCCCUUAGACUCCGAUGGCUCGCUAUUCCUGCCCAAAGCAGCAGUUAUGAUAACGUUGGACUAAAGAGUGCUAAAAAUCUCCAACAGCAAUUCGGCUGUCAGCAAAAAUGACUAGUCCUGACAACAUA